ACGACUAUAUCACAUUGAAACUCCGGUUCUUGUACGAUCACCGAAGUUACGCAAACCUCGAGCCUGGUCAGUACCUAGAUGGGAGCCGCUUGGGAAUACCACGUGCUGUAAG